CGCGCAGGUGGUUUAUUAAGUCUGGUGUGAAAGCCCAGGGCUCAACCCUGGAACUGCAUUGGAAACUAGUAGACUUGAGUCCAAGAGGGGUCAGUGGAAUUCCUGGUGUAGGGGUGAAAUCCGUAGAGAUCAGGAGGAACACCGGUGGCGAAGGCGACUGACUGGAUUGGAACUGACACUGAGGCGCGAAAGUGUGGGGAGCAAACAGGAUUAGAUACCCUGGUAGUCC
rnacentral:rRNA from 1 species